rnacentral:rRNA from 1 species
CAGGACGGGAACAACAACUGGAAACGGUUGCUAAAGCCCGAUGUGCCUUUCGGGGUGAAAUACUUGUAGCCUGAAGAUGAGCUCGCGUCCGAUUAGCUAGUUGGUGGAGUAAUGGUUUACCAAGGCGACGAUCGGUAACUGGUCUGAGAGGAUGACCAGUCACACUGGGACUGAGACACGGCCCAGACUCCUACGGGAGGCAGCAGUGGGGAAUUUUCCGCAAUGGGCGAAAGCCUGACGGAGCAAUACCGCGUGAGGGAGGAAGGCUCUUGGGUCGUAAACCUCUUUUAUCAGGGAAGAAACAAAUGACGGUACCUGAUGAAUCAGCAUCGGCUAACUCCGUGCCAGCAGCCGCGGUAAUACGGAGGAUGCAAGCGUUAUCCGGAAUUAUUGGGCGUAAAGCGUCCGCAGGUGGUUUUGAAAGUUUGCUGUCAAAGCGCGGAGCUUAACUUCGUACCGGCAGUGAAAACUCCAAGACUAGAGUUUGGUAGGGGUCACGGGAAUUCCCAGUGUAGCGGUGAAAUGCGUAGAGAUUGGGAAGAACACCAGCGGCGAAAGCGCGUGACUGGGCCUGAACUGACACUCAUGGACG